AAAAUUGGUCAAUGGGGGAAAGCCUGAACCAGCCAUGCCGGGUGCAGGAUGAAGGUUUUCAAGAAUGUAAACUGCUUUUAUACGGGAGCAAUAGGUCUCUGAGGAGGCUGAUGAGAUUACCGUAAGAAUAAGCACCGGCUAACUCCGUGCCAGCAGCCGCGGUAAUACGGAGGGUGCAAGCGUUAUCCGGAUUUAUUGGGUUUAAAGGGUACGUAGGCGGCUUUAUAAGUCAGUGGUGAAAUCCCACAGCUCAACUGUGGAACUGCCAUUGAAACUAUAGAGCUUGAGUAAAGAAUAGGUAGGCGGAAUUUAUGGUGUAGCGGUGAAAUGCAUAGAUACCAUAAGGAACACCGAUAGUGAAGACAGCUUACUGGUCUUAUACUGACGCUGAGGUACGAAAGCGUGGGGAGCAAACCGGAUUAGAGACCCUGGUAGUCCACGCCGUA
rnacentral:rRNA from 1 species